CUCAUCCACCCCUGUUACUUCCUCACCCACCCCUCUUUCUUCCUCACCCACUGGUGCUUAGAAACGAGGCUCAUUCAGAGACUCUGGAGUGGCAGCUGCCUUGGUCAUGGCGAGGGGUCUCUCUGGGAGGUGGGGUUCAGAGGGAUGGGGCAGCAUGGGGUCUGGAGCCAGGCAGCUCCGAAGCUCCUGCUCCCAGCUCCCCACUGUCCGGUCCCCAGGGAGGACCCAGAGCCCACCUGGCCAUUGGCCCCAACUUUUCCCCUGGGCAGCAGGAGCCCGGAUCAUGAGCUCUUGGCAGCCUCUGCCUGGGUGGGGUGGCGGCUCUUGGUGUGUUGGUUUUAUUUCCUUUUUCAGCUCCACAGCACAAAUGUCCACAUUUCCCCCACUCACAGCUACUGGAAUCUAGAUGGGAACACCCCGGGUUUGGGCCGGGUGCACAGGAGGGCU
rnacentral:lncRNA from 1 species